UGUUACUGCGAAGGGGGGACGGAGAAGGCUAUGUUAGCCGGGCGACGGUUGUCCCGGUUUAAGCAUGUAGGCUGGUUAUCCAGGCAAAUCCGGAUAACCAAGGCUGAGGUGUGAUGACGAGGUACUACGGUGCUGAAGUAACAAAUGCCCUGCUUCCAGGAAAAGCCUCUAAGCAUCAGGUAACAUUAAAUCGUACCCCAAACCGACACAGGUGGUCAGGUAGAGAAUACCAAGGCGCUUGAGAGAACUCGGGUGAAGGAACUA
rnacentral:rRNA from 1 species